UACGAAGGGGGCUAGCGUUGCUCGGAAUCACUGGGCGUAAAGCGCACGUAGGCGGCUUCUAAGUCAGGGGUGAAAUCCUGGAGCUCAACUCCAGAACUGCCUUUGAUACUGGAGAGCUUGAGUCCGGAAGAGGUGAGUGGAACUCCGAGUGUAGAGGUGAAAUUCGUAGAUAUUCGGAAAGAACACCAGUGGCGAAGGCGGCUCACUGGUCCGGUACUGACGCUGAUGUGCGAAAGCGUGGGGAGCAAACAGGG
rnacentral:rRNA from 1 species